AUGGAUUUAACAAUCUGUACUUAUUUUUCAGGUCAACAGAAAACGUGAUGGAUUUUUUAAAAAAAUGUUCAAUGUUUCCAAGUAUGUGAGCAGAGGAAUUUAAAGGUCAGAACCUGGUCAGACACGGAUGACUUUCGAAGCGCAGAAGGGUCACACUUGGCGUCUUUGGAUUCCUGCGAUGGUGGUGCGAAGAGGACGACGGUGGAUUUCGCAGACGGCUGGACACCGGCCGGGGAUGACCUGGACCAGGUGAGGACGCUCAGGCCAAAGGUGGACCCAGGCGUCCUUCACUCCUCAGUCCACAGCGUGACCAGCAUGACACAUCAAGGACUCCUGGGGGAGGGCGGUUCCUCCAGGCGUUAUACAAGGUAAUCAAAAGCACCUGCUUAUUGGCCCCAACAAAAUCCGAGGGACACAAAUAAUCGUGGCGC
rnacentral:lncRNA from 1 species